UACAGAGGUGGCAAGCGUUGUUCGGAAUUACUGGGCGUAAAGGGCGCGUAGGCGGUCAGGUCAGUCCCGUGUGAAAUCCCUCAGCUUAACUGGGGAACUGCGUCUGAUACUGGAUGGCUUGGAUCCGGGAGAGGGAUGCGGAAUUCCCGGUGUAGCGGUGAAAUGCGCAGAUAUCGGGAGGAACACCUAUGGCGAAGGCAGCUCGCUGGGACGUUACUGACGCUGAGACGCGAAAGCGUGGGGAGCAAACAGG
rnacentral:rRNA from 1 species